rnacentral:rRNA from 1 species
GUGCCAGCAGCCGCGGUAAUACAGAGGGUGCAAACGUUGCUCGGAAUUAUUGGGCGUAAAGCGCGUGUAGGCGGCUUGUUAAGUUGGUUGUGAAAACCCAUGGCUCAACCAUGGAAGGGCGUCCAAAACUGGCAAGCUAGAGUCCUGACGAGGAUGGCGGAAUUCCCAGUGUAGAGGUGAAAUUCGUAGAUAUUGGGAGGAACACCGGUGGCGAAGGCGGCCAUCUGGGAAGGCACUGACGCUGAGACGCGAAAGCGUGGGGAGCAAACAGGAUUAGAUACCCUUGUAGUCC